rnacentral:rRNA from 1 species
UACAGAGGGUGCGAGCGUUAAUCGGAAUUACUGGGCGUAAAGCGUGCGUAGACGGCUAUCUAAGUCGGGUGUGAAAGCCCCGGGCUCAACCUGGGAAUUGCAUUCGAGACUGAAAAGCUAGGGUACGGUAGAGGGAAGCGGAAUUUCCGGUGUAGCGGUGAAAUGCGUAGAUAUCUGGAGGAACACCGGUGGCGAAGGCGGCAUCCUGGACCAAUAUUGACGCUGAGGAGCGAAAGCCAGGGGAGCAAACGGG